GGCUGGAGGUGGCACUCAGUGCUCUGGGCUGGGGACAAGGACUCCAGCAGAAGAUUCGCCCACUCUCUCUUUGGUGGUGAGGAAGGACAGUGGAGAGAGGAACGGAGAAGGAGAAGAUAUUCUGUGGAAUAAAAGCCCUGUGUGGUGCUGCUAGUGAGCUGGGCUCCAGCCUGGAAGGAGCUCAUCCCAGUCCUCCUGGCACAGUCAUCUGGAGCUGAUCACUUCUCCUGGCUCUGUUGUUUAUACUUUCUGCAGUUAUGUUUCUAAUGUCUAAACUGAUCUAAAGUUUGCAAUUUAUACAAGGAAGGGCUGUGCCAAUAAAAGCCACAUCAAAAUCCA